rnacentral:rRNA from 1 species
UACGAAGGGGGCUAGCGUUGCUCGGAAUCACUGGGCGUAAAGCGCACGUAGGCGGAUUGUUAAGUCAGGGGUGAAAUCCUGGAGCUCAACUCCAGAACUGCCUUUGAUACUGGCGAUCUUGAGUCCGGGGAGAGGUGAGUGGAACUGCGAGUGUAGAGGUGAAAUUCGUAGAUAUUCGCAAGAACACCAGUGGCGAAGGCGGCUCACUGGCCCGGAACUGACGCUGAGACGCGAAAGCGUGGGGAGCAAACAGG